rnacentral:tRNA from 1 species
GGGAAGUUGGCUCAGUGGUAGAGUGCUUGCCUAGCAUGCAUGAAGCCCUGGGUUCAAUUCCUCAGUACCA